rnacentral:tRNA from 1 species
GCCAUCUUAGCUCAGCUGGUAGAGCACUUGACUUGUAAUCAUGAGGUCUCCGGUUCGAUUCCGGGAGAUGGCU